GGCAUGGUGGUGUAGUGGUUAACAUGUUUGUUUUGCACUUCUGGGGUUAGGGGUUUGUUUCCCGCCUCUGCCC